CCCGAUAGCUCAGUUGGUAAAGAAUCUGCCUUCAAUGCAGAAGACCUGGGUUUGAUCCCUGAGUUGGGA
rnacentral:tRNA from 1 species